UGUGGAGCAGCCAGAAAAUUUCUUUCGUUCCAAUCGCGUUUUACGUCGACUUGCAUCGCGUUUCGUCAUUGUUUCUCGGUAUCGACACUCUCGAGCAAUAAUGAGACAAACAGCACAGUGGAAAUCGCGAAUAAAACGAAAGAAAUCAAAUUUCAGAUGCUUUGAGACACCUGUUCGAUAGAAUAUUUCAUCGCGAAUGCCAGCUCGACUUUCACUACGAUUGACCCGUAGAACAGCUAAGAACGGUGAAUGUUUACAUUCACUGUUUGAAAAACUUUGAUUUCAUUGAUUCUCAGAGCUCGCUUCUGUGUGUUCUAAUUCUUUUGUGGCAUCAGCCAGGUUUAUGUUUGUAAGAAAUACUUCAUAAGAAACUUGACCUAUAUAAUUUAAAGUCAUAAUUUUAAUAAUAUUUCUGUAAAUAUUGUAUAAUAUAGUUAUUAUAAUUAAUGGAGUAUUUCAUGAUAA